rnacentral:rRNA from 1 species
GCUAGGUUCCUUGGAGAGGGUAGACUAAGUAGUUUUGCUCAAAUGCCGGCGAACGGAACUAGAGGUGGUAUCCUCAUGCUUUGGGAUGACCAGCUCCUCCACGUCACCGACAUCAACACCACUCCAUACCGCCUCUCUGCCAUGGUUCUAAUCAAAGCGUCCAAUGUGCAUUAAAAGAUCACAACUGUGUAUGGGCCCGUCCUCUCAUCUCUCAAGGACGCUUUCUUCGCCGAGCUCAUCACUCAGAGGCCUCCCACUGGUACCCUCUGGCUUUGUCUGGGAGAUUUCAACCAAAUUUACAGAGCACGUGACAAAAACAAGAGAAACAUCGACACUAGGCGUCUAAACCGUUUCCGUGCAACGCUCCAAAGUUGUGGUUUGAUGGAGAUCCACCUCUAGAAUAGACGUUUCACAUGGUCAAACGAGAGGGAAAACCCAACCCUUUGCAAGCUCGACUCGUUCUUUUGCAACGCGGAGUGGGACAGUCAGUUUGGCAGCCACAUCCUUCAUGCACUCUCGUCCUCGCUCUCUGAUCACUGCCCCCUCCUCCUCGCCGAGGUUAGGGGACCCCGGAGACCGCACAACUUCAAGUUCGAGAAUUUUUGGGUUUCCCUUCUAGGGUUCAAGGAGGUCGUUCUCAAGGCAUGGAAUGAGCAUACCGACCAUACCGAGCCGUACCAAAUCCUACACCACAAGCUCAAGAAGACCGGUACCCGCCUUUCCGAGUGGAGUAGGGUUUUCUCCGGAGCGAAGGUCCAACUCCACGCCGCCCUCUUGGUGAUUUUGCACCUUGGCAUGGCCCAAGACAACCGGCAACUCUUUGUGGGGGAAGGGGACCUCCGCAAGCGGCUCAAAAGACUAGUCGUCAGCUUAGCGGUCAUUGAGAGGGCCCGUAAGAAGCAGUGCGCGAGACUGGCCAACAUCAAGGAGGGCGAUGCAAACACCAAAUUUUUUCACCGGAGGAUCAAUGGAAGACGCCGCAAAAACUUCAUCUACAGGCUUAAGCAUAAUCAGGGAUGGAUCACCGACCAUGAUGUCAAAGAGAAGGUUGUCCACGACCACUUCACCGAAGCCAUGGGAAAGGGGCGCCCGCGGGUGCGCGACUUGAUGUCCCGCAACUAUAGGGGAUCUAUCGUAGUCCUUUUGAUAAGUAAGAGUGUCGAACCCAACGAGGAGCAGAAGGAAAUGAUAAGCGGUUUCCAGCAAGGUAUUCUCUGCAAGUACUGA